rnacentral:rRNA from 1 species
GAUGAACGCUGGCGGCGUGCCUAAUACAUGCAAGUCGAGCGAACAGAUGAUGAUCUUGCUCCUCUGACGUUAGCGGCAGACGUGUGAGUAACACGUGUAUAACCUACCUAUAAUACUGUUAUAACUUCGGGAAACCGGAUCUAAUACCGGAUAAUAUCUUGAACCGCAUGGUUCAAUAGUGAGAUACGGUGUUUCUGGCACUUAUAGAUGGAUCCGCGCCGCAUUAGAUAGUUGGUAAGGUAACGGCUUACCAAGGCAACGAUGCGUAGACGACGUGAGAGGCUGAUAGGCGACCCUGGAACUGGGCCAGGGACAAGGGUACUAAGGGAGGGCGCAGAAGGGAAUCGUAGGCAGUGGGCGAAAGUAUGACGGAGCAACGCGGAGCCAGUGACGACGGUCUCCGGAUCGUAAAAACCUGUUACUAGGGAAGAACCACUGUGUAAGUAAACAUGCCCGUAUUGACGGUACCGAAUCAGAAAGCAACGGCUAACUACGUG